GCAGUGGUGGGUCCAUGGUAGAGCUCUCACAUUCCACGCGGGAGACCUGGGUUAGCUUCCCAGCCACUGCA
rnacentral:tRNA from 1 species